rnacentral:lncRNA from 1 species
GCUAUGAAGCACAGUGAUCUUGUGAAUUUAAGGAACGUACGACAUGUUGCAAUGUGUAUAGUUGACUUCGAAGUGCGGGGUGGAUAAAGGUGUAUGAUGACAAGCACUGUUUGGUUACUCCAUUAUUAACUCGCUUGCUGUAUAUUAUAUCUUCUCAUGUCUAUAAAUUAUUAUAUCUCAGCUCUCUAAACAACCUUAGACCGAGUCCAUUUGCCUUGUGCUUCACAUGAAGACCGUCUUUCUCAUUAUCCUCCUAGUCAUUUUUAUAACCAAUCCAUCUGCCGCAGGUGAGCAAUUCAAGCUCCUCACUACACGCUUCAUUCUGUUUAUAAAUUACAAGGUUUUGAUGUUUUCUUCUUCUUGCAGGCCGUUCCGAUGAUGGCAGGACAAAGUAUGUGAAGCUCUGUGAUUCAUGCGAUGUAAGUAAUACCAGUAUGUAUGUUCAAGUUAUGACUUAAUACUCAUUUUUAAUUAAUUAGAAACAAUCAGUGCAUUUUAUUUCUCAAUUAGUAGUUUUUCUAAUCAACCUACACCGUUGAGUUUUUUUGUCUCUCAGGUUACGUUGUUAGUCUGUCUCACCUUUAAAUAUUUAAGAUAGAAUUUAUAAUUUUCGUCUAAUAUGAUUUUGGUAUACCCUCCUCUUAACACACACCUCGAGUGUUUUUGGGAGAACUGAUUAUUUUCAAAAUGAUAUCAAAGAGCUCAGUUUUGUCGAAGACUCAAGUUCAACUCUUUACGACAAUAUAAGUAUGCAUGGUUAAUUUACAAACGCUGAGUUCGGAGACAAAUGUCACACUUAUGCAAGUUGGCUUUAAUAUUAAAUUUUGUGUGAUAAUUUACUGACUUGUAUGCAUUUUGUGACUUACUGAAGGUGGCAAUGAAGACGAAGAUAAGGAAGAUAUUGAGCGUUGUGGAAGUGUUGGAUUACCGUGACCCAGGACCGAAUCCGGGCCAUGAUCCCGGCGGCCCCGGAAAAGGGAAGCCCGGUGGUAAAGGGAUCAACCCUUGACCGACUAUGUGAUAUUAGUAUAAAUUAUUUGCAUACAUAAUUAUAUAAUAGUAUCGAAAAUAAAGGGAAAGGUCAUAAAGUAGUAUUAUAAUGUAUGUGUGAUGGAUAUCGUAUUAGUUGUAUACUAUGAAGCUCGCUAGAUGUUUCUGUUAUGGUCGAUUGAUGUAUAUUUUAUAUCUACUGCCACAGGUUUCAAAUACCAUGGUCGUAUGUUCCACGAAGGUGUUGUUAAAACUAUGAUACUCUCUUAGCUCUUUGUUAUUAUACUUGAUAUAAGUUAAAUUUUAAGAUUUUAAAAU